rnacentral:rRNA from 1 species
UACGUAGGGGGCUAGCGUUGUCCGGAAUCAUUGGGCGUAAAGAGCGUGUAGGCGGCCACUUAAGUCCUGCGUGAAAUCUUGCGGCUCAACCGCAAGCGGUCGUGGGAAACUGGGUGGCUAGAGUGCGGGAGAGGAGAGUGGAAUUCCUGGUGUAGCGGUGGAAUGCGCAGAUAUCAGGAGGAACACCGGUGGUGUAGACGGCUUUCUGGACCGUAACUGACGCUGAGACACGAAAGCGUGGGUAGCAAACAGG